rnacentral:rRNA from 1 species
UUGAUCCUGGCUCAGGACGAACGCUGGCGGCGUGCCUAAUACAUGCAAGUCGAACGAACUCUGGUAUUGAUUGGUGCUUGCAUCAUGAUUUACAUUUGAGUGAGUGGCGAACUGGUGAGUAACACGUGGGAAACCUGCCCAGAAGCGGGGGAUAACACCUGGAAACAGAUGCUAAUACCGCAUAACAACUUGGACCGCAUGGUCCGAGUUUGAAAGAUGGCUUCGGCUAUCACUUUUGGAUGGUCCCGCGGCGUAUUAGCUAGAUGGUGGGGUAACGGCUCACCAUGGCAAUGAUACGUAGCCGACCUGAGAGGGUAAUCGGCCACAUUGGGACUGAGACACGGCCCAAACUCCUACGGGAGGCAGCAGUAGGGAAUCUUCCACAAUGGACGAAAGUCUGAUGGAGCAACGCCGCGUGAGUGAAGAAGGGUUUCGGCUCGUAAAACUCUGUUGUUAAAGAAGAACAUAUCUGAGAGUAACUGUUCAGGUAUUGACGGUAUUUAACCAGAAAGCCACGGCUAACUACGUGCCAGCAGCCGCGGUAAUACGUAGGUGGCAAGCGUUGUCCGGAUUUAUUGGGCGUAAAGCGAGCGCAGGCGGUUUUUUAAGUCUGAUGUGAAAGCCUUCGGCUCAACCGAAGAAGUGCAUCGGAAACUGGGAAACUUGAGUGCAGAAGAGGACAGUGGAACUCCAUGUGUAGCGGUGAAAUGCGUAGAUAUAUGGAAGAACACCAGUGGCGAAGGCGGCUGUCUGGUCUGUAACUGACGCUGAGGCUCGAAAGUAUGGGUAGCAAACAGGAUUAGAUACCCUGGUAGUCCAUACCGUAAACGAUGAAUGCUAAGUGUUGGAGGGUUUCCGCCCUUCAGUGCUGCAGCUAACGCAUUAAGCAUUCCGCCUGGGGAGUACGGCCGCAAGGCUGAAACUCAAAGGAAUUGACGGGGGCCCGCACAAGCGGUGGAGCAUGUGGUUUAAUUCGAAGCUACGCGAAGAACCUUACCAGGUCUUGACAUACUAUGCAAAUCUAAGAGAUUAGACGUUCCCUUCGGGGACAUGGAUACAGGUGGUGCAUGGUUGUCGUCAGCUCGUGUCGUGAGAUGUUGGGUUAAGUCCCGCAACGAGCGCAACCCUUAUUAUCAGUUGCCAGCAUUAAGUUGGGCACUCUGGUGAGACUGCCGGUGACAAACCGGAGGAAGGUGGGGAUGACGUCAAAUCAUCAUGCCCCUUAUGACCUGGGCUACACACGUGCUACAAUGGAUGGUACAACGAGUUGCGAACUCGCGAGAGUAAGCUAAUCUCUUAAAGCCAUUCUCAGUUCGGAUUGUAGGCUGCAACUCGCCUACAUGAAGUCGGAAUCGCUAGUAAUCGCGGAUCAGCAUGCCGCGGUGAAUACGUUCCCGGGCCUUGUACACACCGCCCGUCACACCAUGAGAGUUUGUAACACCCAAAGUCGGUGGGGUAACCUUUUAGGAACCAGCCGCCUAAGGUGGGACAGAUGAUUAGGGUG